AAAUGAAUAGACGGGGGCCCGCACAAGCGGAGGAGCAUGUGGUUUAAUUCGAUGAUACGCGAGGAACCUUACCCGGGCUUGAACGUAAGACGAAUAAUCAGGAAACUGGUUAGCCUACGGGCGUCUUGCGAGGUGCUGCAUGGUUGUCGUCAGCUCGUGCCGUGAGGUGUUAGGUUAAGUCCUGCAACGAGCGCAACCCUUACCUUCAGUUACCAGCACGUCAAGGUGGGCACUCUGAAGGAACUGCCUACGCAAGUAGAGAGGAAGGUGGGGAUGACGUCAAAUCAGCACGGCCCUUAUGUUCGGGGCUACACACGUGCUACAAUGGUAUGUACAGAGGGCAGCCACCCUGUGAGGGGGAGCCAAUCCUCAAAGCAUAUCUCAGUUCGGAUUGGAGUCUGUAACUCGACUCUAUGAAGUUGGAUUCGCUAGUAAUCGCGCAUCAGCCAUGGCGCGGUGAAUACGUUCCCGGGCCUUGUACACACCGCCCGU
rnacentral:rRNA from 1 species